rnacentral:rRNA from 1 species
CAGUAGCCGCGGUAAAACAGAGGGUGCAAGCGUUAAUCGGAAUUACUGGGCGUAAAGCGCGCGUAGGUGGUUCGCCAAGUUGGAUGUGAAAGCCCUGGGCUCAACCUGGGAAUGGCAGUGGAUACUGGCUCGCUAGAGUGUGUCAGAGGAUGGUGGAAUUCCCGGUGUAGCGGUGAAAUGCGUAGAGAUCGGGAGGAACAUCAGUGGCGAAGGCGACCACCUGGACUGAUACUGACACUGAGGUGCGAAAGCGUGGGGAGCAAACAGGAUUAGAUACCCGUGUAGUCCCUGUCUCUUAUAC